rnacentral:tRNA from 1 species
GGAGAGGUGCCUGAGUGGUUGAAAGGGGCACCCUGCUAAGGUGUUACUCCGUUUUUCGGGGUCGAGGGUUCGAAUCCCUCCCUCUCCG